UCAUAUAUAUAUAUAUAUAUAUAUAUAUAUAUAUAAAUGCAUUUAAACAAAACUGAUUAUUUGCUUUACCUGAUAAAAUGAACAUUCAUUUUUUUUUUAUUUAAAUGAGAAAUUGUAAUUACUUCUGGGGUUGAUUUAUUCGACUAAAAUUGGCCUCAGUCUAAUGACUGAAACAGGUAAAAGGUAAAAGAAAAAAGAUAUAAAUUAUUAACUUCAAUUAUUUCAGAGAAAAUAGCAUUUAAAUUAUUACUUAUUUUAUGCAUAAAUAUUGACAGAUCAAUUUUCAGUGAAUAAAAGUACAUUGUUAUCUGAA
rnacentral:lncRNA from 1 species